rnacentral:tRNA from 1 species
CGGGGUGUGGCUCAGCUUGGCUAGAGCGCCUGGUGUGGGACCAGGAGGUCGCAGGUUCGAAUCCUGUCACCCCGA